AGGAAAGUCAUGAUGCAUUUUU
rnacentral:miRNA from 1 species